rnacentral:rRNA from 1 species
UACAGAGGUCCCAAGCGUUGUUCGGAUUCACUGGGCGUAAAGGGUGCGUAGGCGGUCGGGUAAGUCUGAUGUGAAAUCUCACAGCUUAACUGUGAAACUGCAUUGGAUACUAUUCGGCUUGAGAGUUGGAGGGGGGGCUGGAAUUCUUGGUGUAGCGGUGAAAUGCGCAGAUAUCAGGAGGAACACCGGUGGCGAAGGCGGGUCUCUGGGCCGAUACUGACACUGAGGAGCGAAAGCGUGGGGAGCGAACAGG